rnacentral:misc_RNA from 1 species
GAUGAAGAACGCAGCGAAAUGCGAUAAGUAAUGCGAAUUGCAGAAUUCAGUGAGUCAUCGAAUCUUUGAACGCACAUUGCGCCCUGUGGUAUUCCGCAGGGCAUGCCUGUUCGAGCGUCAUUUCAACCCUCAAGCUCUGCUUGGUGUUGGGCCCUGCCCGCUGCGGCCGGCCCUAAAGACAGUGGCGGUGCCGCCUGGCCCUGAGCGUAGUACAUCUCUCGCUCCAGUGCCCGGUGGUAGCCUGCCAGAACCCCAACUCUCGUGGUUGACCUCGGAUCAGGUAGGGAUACACGCUGAACUUAAGCAUAUCAAUAAGCGGAGGA